rnacentral:lncRNA from 1 species
CUUUGUAGGACAAAGGAUACGUCAAAUACGGAGGAACACCAGACUAAACAGAAUUAAUUCGGUACAGUGCGGAUGAAGUCAAGAAUACUUAUUAAAAUUCUUUCACCUUUCCAAGUAAGAAUAUUCACCUUUUUAUCCUACCGUCGUUAAUAAUUGCUCAAAAUUCUUCUGAUAAAACAUAUUUCUUGUAAUAUUCCCUGAGUUUCUAUUCAAUAUAUUAAUUCUCCCCGUGCGUAAUUUAAAAAGUAUUUCAUAUUCUUCAGAAAUCAUUAUCAAAAUCAUCAUCAUCAUCAUCAUCAUUAUCAUCAUCAUCAUCAUCAACAUUAUUAUAUAAGGUGGUGAGCUGGCAGAAUCGGUAGCACGCCAGGCAAAAUGCUUAGCGGCAUUUCGCUUGCGUUCUGAGUUCAAAUUCCGCCGAAGUCAACUUUGCUUUUCAUCCUUUCGGGCUCGGUGAAAUAAGUACCAGUUAUGCACUGGGGUCGAUGUACUCCCCUCCCAAAAAAUUUCAGGCUUUGUACCUAUAGUAGAAAGGUUUAUUAUUAUUAUAUAAGUUCAUAAAUUUAUUGAGAGAGUUAGAGUUGAAUCAUUGCUGUAACCAUAAUGUUCUGGUCACCUGAUGAGCUAGCUUCCUUUAUUUGCAUUGAUUUGUGAAUAUACAGUUGUAUUGUAUAAUGUGUAGAAUGCAUAAUUCAUUAUGAUCUGAAAUUAUUAUUACAUGAAGAAUUCUGUGAAACGUCCGUAACCUUAAGGAUGUCAAGUGAUUAAAUAAAUAUGUUCACCUCUCAUAUAUAUAUAUAUAUAUAUACAAACACACACACACACACACAUACACACACACACUAGCAAUGCGCCCCGAAAUUGCCCGCAUGUUAUGACCUACAGCCACAUUGUAUCGUUUGUUCCUUUCUUACGAGAAGAAUCGGCACACGAGGUGUAUGAAGCAAACAACUCUUCUUUAUAAACAUGUUUUUCGGUCAUUUUCUGGUGAACAACGCUACAGUUUCUGUCUACCAAAUUCAGUUAUGCGUCUGUUGUUGGCCUAGAGCUAUAGUAGAAAAUGGAUCCAUGUGGUUGGGAAGCAAACUUCUCAACCACACAGUCAUUCUUGCAUUUAUUGCAAAAUCGAGUAUAAUGUCCCACUAUGUCUCAAAGUUAGCAGCUCAUCAAACAGAGAUCUAUAAAAUAAACGCCAUAUUGAAAUGCGUACUGAGGUCAAUAUGAUCAAUUAAAUUUUUGAAGGUGAUACCCCAUCAUGGCGAUAGUCGAAAGACUAAACCCAGUAAAAUAAUGUUUAAAGACUUAAUGGCUUCAAAUUUAAGGUAAUGGAUUACUAACCACAAGAUAAUGAGUUGAAGACUUCGUACUGGACUUCAACUCUAUAUGAUAACACUGUAUGUAUAUCUCAGUCUACUUGACUUCCAACAAUUAACAAUUGAAAUUUAAAGUUGAAUGGUUAGCAGUAAGAAAGAUGUCCAGAUUUCUUUUAAAAUUAUUGUGCAAAAUACUCUGGGAAAAAUUUUUUUUUCACCACAACAAAACAUACUCACACACACACACACAUACAUACACACACACAUACACACACACACGCACACACAGGUGUGUCUGUCGUAACUUGAGCUACUACAAAUAGCAACCAAUUCUCUCUUAAAACACACCCUUUCAUCAAAAGAAAGACACCGAUUUCCAGUAUUUGAGGAAAAAAGAACGUAGUGAUGGGCCUGCUACAUCAGAAGCUAAACAAAGCACAGACAAGCGUAUUUCAUGUUAAAAGAGUAUCUGCUAAAACAUACUAAUAAAGUUGACGGUUUAUUUUCGAAGUUUCAUUCUCUGGUAAAACUCUAUGUAUUUUAAACAUUUUCUGACUAUACUUUAUGAAAGACAUGAAAAUUGUUCAGGCAGAGUUGCCUACCUCAAAAUUGUGCAAACCGACCUCGUUUUCGAAGUUAUUUUUUAUAGUAAAAAGUUGUGCAAAAAACAUAUUUUAUUUGGUAGCCGAAAGAUUACAGAAUCUUUUGAUACCUCAUGCGUUAAAAUCGGCAAAUCAGUUUUCGAAUCCAUAAGGACAUGCGCCUACACACACACACACACACACACACUCAUACACGCACAAUUGUCUUGUAUAUAUUAAGAUAUACAUAUAUAUAUAUAUAUAUAAUGUAUAAUGACUGGAAUAAAUGGAAGAUAAAAGAUAUAUAUAUAUAUAUAUAUAUAUAUAUAUAUAUAUAUAUAUAUAUAUAUAUAUAUAUAUAUAUAUUAGUUCUUUCAGUUUAACGUUUCCAUGCAAGUUAAAUAUUUUGAUAUAAAAUGCCUUUUUCGAAAGCUCAAAAAAAUAAUACAUAUAUUAGCUGUUCUUAAACUGUUAUUCUACUGCUAUUGUAGUUUAUCCAUUAAAUUUCUUUACGCUUAAUCUUAUUUUAUUUCAAUUAUAUUUCACACUCAGCUAUGCGAGAAGCAAUAAAGAAAGUUGUAAUCCUAUAAAAACACAUUUGCGUCAAAUAGCAUUAACUUUCAUUUCGUGAACUGCUGUUCAAGAUCAAAGGAUCGCCGAAACGAAUAGCUUGUUUAAGUAUGUUAUCCUUACGAAAGCUGAUGGUAAGACUUAUUGAACUGCGAUAACGGUAGAAUGCCUGCCUAAGGACAGCGUACUGAAACUACUAUAUUUUAUUAUUAUUAUUUCAUACUAUUGAAAAAAGCAUAUCAUGAAUUUUAAGCGUUGUGGACUCAUUAUCAUAUAUACAAAUUUUAUUAACUACACCGUAAAAGUUUCUUAUUUCCAUUGUUAUUUUUUUAUUAUAAAGUGAUUUUCUGUCCGUUUCUUUUGAUAUAUUUUGGAAUUCUGGGGGUUUUUCUGUUGUUUUAUCGUUAUCUAAACCUUUGUUCCUAGGAGUAGUCAACUUCUAAUUUGUAAUAUAUUUCUUGUUAUAUAAGGAGAAAAGGUUGUCUUGUUCUUUUCUUCAUAUUUUCUUAUUACACUUACCAGUUACCUUAAACUUGAUUUUUAAGCAUUUUUUUUUGUCUCACUUUUGUUACUUUGUAGUAAUUCUCUAUUUAUAUCCCUGUGAACAAGGUAUAUCCAAUCUGCAUCAACUUUUGGGUCACAGCUUGAGAAUGUUGUUAGUUGUUUCCUGGUUUUUCUUUCUAAGCUUACCAAUUCACUUUUCCCCGACAUUUCGGUGUGUUGUCAGUUUCAUCUACUCCUAAGCAUUUGUAUUGUGGUUUUGAUUCAGUGCCUGUACCCAAUUCGGAAUUUUUUUUCUGUUAGUUGUCCACUUCAGCUUUGGGACAUUUGUUUAAUUGCUUACUCAUUUUCAUGACUUGGUUGAAAAUGUGAGCUAAUUUUAGUAGGUUUUCCAACCAGGUAUUGUCCCCUGUAAAUAGGUUUGAGACAUCCACAUAGAGAAAAUGGUUUACACUUUGUCCUUUAUCAUUUAAAGCCAAUGGUUUCACCACUACUAGUUAUAAAUGUAUGAUGUUAACAAACUAAUUGUUUUCUUGCAGUUUGUUGGAAAAGGUAUCUGCCGUUUUAGAUUUGAUAAAUAAAUGUCGUUUCUCCGGACAGGAACCUUUUAGGUGUUCAUUUUGAGAUGUUUUCCAGUUCAUUGAAUACCCAUGUUUAUUGGCCAGGUGUUUUAGACAUAAAGGAGAACUUGUUGAGUCUUUUUCUUUCGAGGUGCUUGUAGACGUAAGAGUGGCUGUGUGGUAAGUAGCUUGCUUACGAACUACUAGGUUCCGGGUUCAGUCCCACUGCGUGGCACCUUGAGCAAGUGUUUUCUACAAUAGCCUCGGGGCAACCAAAGCCUUGUGAGUGGAUUUGGUAGACGGAAACUGAAAGAAGCCCGUCGUAUAUAUAUAUAUAUAUAUAUGUGUGUGUGUGUGUGUGUGUGUGUGUGUGUGUGUGUGUGUGUGUGUGUGUGUGUGUGUGUGUAUGUUUGUGUGUCUGUGUUUGUCCCCCCACCCCAACAUCGCUUGACAACCGUUGCUGGCAUGUUUACGUCCCCGUAACCUAGCGGUUCGGCAAAAGAGGCCGAUAGAAUAAGUACUAGGCUUACAAAGAAUAAGUCCUGGGGUCGAUGUGCUCAACUAAAGGCGGUGCUCCAGCAUGGCCGCACGCAAAUGACUGAAACAAGUAAAAGAAUAAAGCGUAAAGGUUUUAAUGGUUUUAAAUUCAUCGUCUGCUAUAAUAGACUAGCUUGCGAUGCUUCUGAAUUUUUCCACCUUCUCUUUUGACUCAUUGCACUAUUUUUUAAAAUUUUGCUAUGCGGAAUUGGUGGAGCGUCCAACAAUAUGCCUUCUAGUAUGUGGUGAUGUAUCUUUUAUCUCCUGAGCUUAAAUCUCUUGAGGUCAAUUUACCUUUCAUCCUUCCGGAGUCUUUAAAAUGAACUACUUGGAGUGAUAUAUUCAAAUGCAUCCAUCCGCACAAAAAAGUGUGUCUUUGUGCCUAGGAAUUAUUGUUAUUGUCAUUAUAAUCAAUAUUGCACUCUGAAGUUAUUCUGUUUUCAUAAGAUAUUGUCGUCUUGUUAACAUUUCGUAUUUUUAUAGAUAUUAGAACAUUCAGUAAUGGCAAUGUAUUUAAUGACCUAGGAUAUUAAACACCGCUGUUUCCCAUGACUUUCUGCCAUAUGGUCUAGGCUCUCAUUAGAAUUAGUGAGUAAAGGAGAAAAUCGCGAAAAAAAAGCAUGCAUCGUAGCAACACUGAGAGCAAAUAUGUACUUGGAAUCUUCUGCAUCGUUAAGCUACUCACUUCAACUGCCACAACUUACGCUUGUUUGCCCUGUAAUUUAAAGUGCGAAACAGUUGCAGUUCCUUGAAAAAAUGUGUUGCUAACAACUUGCAAAAGCUAGUAACGCUUAUAAAAACGCUUACAACCUGCCUCCAUAACUAUGUACACCCAUAUAUUCAAAUGCAUACCUGGAAGAUGGCAGUUAAAGAACUAUGAAAGGUAUUCAUCGUGGCUAGCAAUCGCCAGCAAUAGAAAUAUGAGUGAAUAUGUUUCGUCACAUUGCAAUUGAAGUAGUUAUCUUUCUAAGAAAUUUGUCUGUCUAUAACUUAUCAAGAGGAUUUGAGAUAAAAGCGAAGGAUUUUGAAGUCUUCCAUAUAAAGUAUAUGUUGCUUCCCCGUGAAAAUGACACUCAUUCUGGCAUUGUGUUGAAGAGAGAGAGAUACACAGCAGCAUUUUGCCACUGUACAUCUCGUGUAAGUUUGUUUUUUUAGCUACCAGCUUUGUUUUGGUUCAAAAUGUUGGCUGAGAUUAUAAAAGAAAAUAAUUGCAUUUUUAUAUAUUUGUCUAUAUAGAUGGGUAAAUUUGUUUAUACUGAAAUACUUCUAACGAAAACUUUAUUAAUAUUUUAAAUAGGUUUACCAGAAAACUUUUAGAAAUAAUGAUUUAUGACAUAAACAUAAGGCGAAAUGCUUGUGGGGAGGAUAUAGUUAAACAACAUUGCCCCGAUAAUUCAAUGGUAAUAUUUCACUGAUAAUACAAGGAUGAAAGACAAAAAUUGAAUCUAUGUUCAAAACAAUUACUAUAAAGCAACAUAACUAAACCUAGCAGAGCAUCUGGUGCGCCGCUCUGUCAAUUCUACCUGCGAAAAAUUUAUGUUAAAAAUAAUUACAAAAUAUUUUAUAGAAAUUAAAUAAAAUUGUUUACUACUUUGGCACACUUUAAAAUCUGCUGCAGUAUGCAGCUGUACUUAGACAUAAACAUAUGAAGGAAAUCAUAUAUUCUCUGGCAUUCCAAGUAAAAUAGCUGUCUUAGACUUAUAUGUAUAUGUGUUAUUGACUCUUCGUGUGGAUAACCAAGUAUCUAUGAUUUGCGUGUAUUUCUGUAAUUAAAGCAUACGACAUGUAGAAUCUGAGUUAUCCAAUAAAUCUUAUAUUCGCUGAUUGAGUUGCUACUUUCUAGUGAUUACAAGUUAUAGGGUAUCGCUUCUAAGUAAUAUGCAACUAAAAGAGACUGUAAAAAUGGCAUAGAAAAGUAUAACAUUGGAAAGAUUCUUUAAGAUGUUUUGUAUAUAAACAUUUCUCUUGUGAAUUCAGAAAAACAGUCUGCAGUGACGCUAGUAAGAGAAAAUAAAGUUUGUAAAUUGGAAUGAACAGAGAAACGAAUAUAGGGAGAUGUUAUUUUUUAAAAUUUUUUAUCAUCAAUUUCCUUCAUAUCUGACGAAACUUUAUUUAUCGAUAGGUAUUCAAUAAUGCUUUUUACCUCUUCCUUAUCGGAUGCCCAAGUCGGUUAUCGGUCUUUUCAUAACGACAGAUAUCCAACAAUCGCUUAUCUACCCUAUUGACUCCUAACGAGAUUCUGUUCGCCUCCUGAUCAUACUCACAAGUAGAGUACAAAACCAUAAGCCACCGAAACACAUUAUUUUGAUAGUGCUACCACUGGUUACAACGGGUUCGCAAAAGAAAUAUUUCUAAAAACAUUUGUAACAGUUAUUCCUACCCUAUCAGAUGCACUCGGUUGUUAAUGUUUUUCUUUUCUCACUCACUCGCACAAUGCACAGCCAGUGACUGGGUACGAACAGUGCAACUCUUAACUGGUUAUCUUACACUCUAUUAAUUCAGUUGUUUGAACUUAUUUUAAAACAAGCAAUACUCUAAAGAUAUUCUUCGUAAAAUAGCUUACAUAUACUGGAUAUUCUUAUUUCCAUCAAAUAUCUCUACAAUUAUAUUCCGUUCGCUGUUGCCCCCAUUUUAGCUUUAGUUGAAGUGUCAACUGGGAAAGAAUGGAAUCAAUAAUGGCAACAGUUGUUGUAACAUCUGUAAAUUCCCACUUCAUAUUUACAGCAAAUUUAGUUGGAUAAAUUUUAUCGUGAGGCCAAUGUUUCUCUAACAUUGACCAUGUUUAGUAUCAGUGAAAGAUUUCCUUUCACUAUUUACAUUUGUUCAUAAGUUUUUUUCUUCUCUUUCACACGCUCACCUUCCCUCUCUCUCUCUCCCUUUCUUUCUUUCUCUCUCUCUCUCUCUCUCUCUCUCUCUUUCUCGCGCCGUCCCUCUCCCUCCCACCCUCUGAAUCUCCUUCAGUUUGAUUUCUGCUAUGUUCCUCUCUCAUUCGCUCUGUAGUUAUAUACAUACAUACAUAUAUACAUACAUAUAUAUAUAUAUACAUAUACAUACAUAUAUACAUACAUACAUAUAUAUAUAUAUAUAUAUAUAUACACAUGAUUGCUAUGUGUGCACACAACAUAAAAAUCCUCUUGCAUGGAAACGUUAACAGCUCCCUAUAUGUGCAUACAUGCAAAUACAUUCAUAUACAAGCACACAAAUGCACAAACAUUCACACACUCGCACAAACACAGGUAUGUAUAUAUCUGCUUUUCUCUCUAUACAUACAUAAAUAUAUAUAUGUUUAUAUAUGUAUAUAUAUACAUACAUAUACACAUAAUACAUAUAUAUAUAUAUAUAUAUAUAUAUACUAUACAGGUGUAAACAUGUAUAUAUAAAUAUAUGUAUGCUAACGUAUGUGUGUAUAUAUUAUGUAUAUAUAUGUGUGUAUGUGUGUGUGAGGGCGGGGGGUAUAUAUACAGAUAGAUAGAUUGAUAGAUAGAUCAACACACACGCGUGUGUGCAUGUGUGUGCAUGUGUGUGUGUGUGGAGAGAGAGAGGUAGAGAGCGAUUGGCAAACUUCCAUAUUUCCAUAAGCAUAUAUCUCCUAUGGAAUCGAUAGUAAUUGCUGAUAUGCGGUUUCCUCUUGUAAGUACUUAAGUCAGUUAAAUGGAAAUGGAAAUUGGAAACAAGGGUUGUGGGAGACCAUAUCUUACGAAAUACAAUAUGGACAAUAUCCUACACACGCUGGAGCUGACGGUGAAGGUGAAUAAACUAAACCAACCGAUUCAUGACAUCGAGUUGGUUCUAUGCUGCUCUCCCAACGGAGUCUAAUUUCAGCAGCUCUAUCUGUAAUCAAAAGAAUAAGUACCAGUAAUUUGUGAUCAGAACAAACAACAGAAAUAUGUGAUAUCAAUGGGUUUUGUCUUUCAGACUAUAAAUAUAUGUUUUAGAUUUACAUGUUCCCUACGUUCUCAUCGUCAUCGGAUAUAUUAUUCUUUGGAAUAUACAACACAUAAUACAAAACUGGAUUCUACAUCUAUUUCUUUACUACCCACAAGGGGCUAAAAGUGGAUUCUAUAUCGAGACCUGUAUUUCUAAUAUUAGGUAGUGACGCACAUAUCCAUUAAGCUACUAACACUUGUAAAUUAAUUAUGCAUGCAACAUUUUCAGUUAUUUAUAGGUAUCGUUCAGUAAAAAAAAGCAAUAAUGAGCUGAAGUCAGCGCUGUGUUUGUAGUUAUAUGUACGGCUAUUUUAAUUUGUCCAGCCCCCCCCCCCCCCCGGUGAUUCUCAACUGAUUAUGUAAAUUUUAUUCCAUAGCAGUAUGUGAUUUACUUUCUUACACAAUAUUUAUUCAGCUAUUUCUAACUUGGAUGAUUCUUCUCAUAUUUAUAAAAGUGUUUGCUUUUCCUGUAUUCUCAACUUUAGAUGUCUUCAGUUUCUUCUUUAUGGGACCCUCCACGAAUUCGUAGGAUGUUAUAGAAGCAGUUCAUGUGUUCUAAACAUUCUUGGAUUGGUUUGACUUUAGCGUGAAAUCUGCAGAGUUGAUGAUACUCUCUGAUACUGUUCUUGUAUAAAAUCCUUUACAAAUUCUCUGCAUUUUCUAAGACAAGUACUUGCAUUAAGGUAAAAAUAGAAUAAAGUUUGGUUUUAAGCUCUACUUUGUGUUCGAGAUUGACUGUGUGUCUUACCUGUAAUUCAGAAAUAUAUUCUUCAUGCGACACUUUCCUUCUAUGUAAGCUGAUCCAUUGGUGUAGGUCAUUUUUUGCACGAUAUCGCAGGUGCCAGGUAACUUUUUUUUUACAUUGUAUGGAUGAUAGGACUCAUUGUUUUAAAAAGGGCACAGAGGUUGGUGGUUUCUUUUAUACGGAUCAUCUGAUUCGUACCUCAAGGAGUAUCAGUUAGUCGUAGUUUCCAUCUCCACCGUAAACUGGGGUUAUAGAGUUCACAUAAUCUACAAUAUCUUGAUGUUCCUAUAACAUGAGUGUGUUCCAGUUCUAUAUUUAAGAGAUGAGGAAUUAUGUACAUUAUUUAUAUUAUUUACAUUUGACGGAUAUUUGUCCUCAUCUUGUUUGUUGUUGUUUUUUUAACAACAAACAAGAUGAGGAUAAAUAUCCGUCAAAUGUAAAUAAUAUAAAUAAUGUACAUGACUGUGUUAUCCAUGUAUCUUAACCAUCCUGCACAUUUUAGCGAUAGAAAAACUUACUCAAGUUUUUCAAAGUACUCUGUGUAAACAUUAGCCAUUAUUGUCGACAAUGAUGAACUCCUAACCAUCUCUUCCUUGUGUUAGUAUAUUUCAUUUUUGAUCUAGAAGUUAGCCGUACUUAACCAAAGUGUUAAUAUCUGCAUGAUGUUAUCAGCCGGUAAUUUCGUGCAUUCAAUGUGACUUUGUUUGUUUGGGGGAAAGAGGGCUUUGUUGGGGCUUUUUUGUUGUUGCUGUUGUUGUUUUAUUAAUUGUUAUUCUUUCUAGUCUGGUUCUGAUAACCGAUAACGCCUCGCCAAUUGAAUCCGUUGUAAAUUUGCUCAGCAAAUCAAGGCCGAACAUUUGGCCAUGAUCGGCAUUUAAAAUUGUCUUCUAAAUUUAAAUUUAAUAGUAUUUUAUGUAAAUGUGAAAUGGGAAUCUACAGAUGUUACAACUCUUGUCAUUAAUUAUUCCAAACUUUGCCACUUGACUCUGAAUACGUUUUGUAAAGACAAUGGAUGGACAGAAUAAUAUUCAGUGCUUUCCUAUCACCCUCGCUAAACAUGCAAAAGAAGAUGAACUCAACGCUGCAAGGUGACGAACGACGAACUAAUAUAAUCUCCCUUAUCGUAAAUUCCUUACAAACAUUUAUAUUUAUUUAUUUAUUUUUGAUAAUUGAUAUCCCCUCAAUAUUCCUAUUCGAGAACCUGAUAGGAAUGAUUGGACCAAGCCUCACCAACUAUCGCAGUCACAUUAUGGAAUCAUCAUCCUAUAUAUAAUAAUGGGACGUUUUAUUGCACAAAUUGCAUCGUAUAUAGAGGUAGAGAGAGUAAAAGAGACAUGCAGAAAGAAUUAACAUAAAAGGAGCAGGAUUGUGUGUCAUAACUUCGAGGAAAACACGCGUUUUCUUUUUCUUUUUUAUGAAUUUUUACAAAGAUAGGUUUCCAAAGGUGUAGAUUGCAAUUAUGCUGAAAAAUUUAGAAAAGUAAUAACAUAUAUUAUUGCAAACAAAAUAGUCAAUUGUUUUGUUCUCUUUUCGAAAUUAGUGUUCAUUUCAUUAUUUUGUGCACAAUAGGUGCAGGCGUGGCUAUGUGGUAAGAAGCUUGCUUCCAGUCGUUAACUGAAGCCAGUGUUGUUUUUGCUCCGUAAGGAAUUUUAUUGCUUUAUAUUGGAUUUGUUACUGUUGGACUUGUUAAUGUAUUUUUUGGAUUGUUAUUAUUGCUGAACUUUGUGCUGUUGUCCGGUGUACCGGGUGAUAGAAAUUGUCAUUUCUUUUUGUAGCUAUUGUGGCAAUUUUUAAACAAAAUAUUGCAAGAAAAAAUUGGACUUGUUAAAGUCGCUUUAGACUUUAUUUUUGUGCACCGCACUAUGCGGGGACGGGAUUUGAACUAUUGUCAAAAAAUUUAUAAACUGUUUUUACAAAAAUUAUUAUAGGUUUUACUUGUGGAAAACCGAUUUUUGUUAUAUUUUCUUGUAUAAUUAAUUUCGACUGAGCAUGUCGUCCGAAGUUAUACAUGAAAAAUGCACUCCCGAAGAGAGUAAUGUUAACUCUGUUAGAAAGUUUUCGACGGUUGCCGCUGUGGCAACCGAAAACAUUGAUAUUCCUGUAGACAAGCUACAGGAAUAUUUCAAGAGAAUGAAAGAGGAAGAUGGGGAUAUAAAAAUAUCACCCUCCUUCAAGACGGUUGAAACGGACAGAAAAGCAAUAAUAUUUAAAUCGUUCUGUCCAAAAAACAAACGAUUUAAACAUUUCGAAAAGGAGAAAAUUGAAAAAUGUCUUGCCCCGAUUUGGAAGGACGUAGUGUAUAUUGCGAGGAGCAAGACAUAUAGCACCUUUGAAGUGCUGUUCGCGUCUGAGGAGAAGGCCCGCGGGUUCUCUGUAAGCCCUCUAAAAACAGACGAUGUGGUGCUUCUGCCAACCUACAUGGGAAGAAGGACUUUUCGUGUAAAGGUAACAGAAGUACCACAAGAAGUCGACCCGAGAGAGGUGAUGGCCGCCCUGUUGUUUAACAGGCGGACAAAAUCCAAUUUCUCCCGAUUACAUGCUUUGCUCCGCAGAAUUGGCUCGGGCAGAGCAUCUCGGCAAUCAUUCAGGGGGCCCAGGAAGACAUUGAAAUGCUUCCAGACAGGGUACUUGUGGGUAAGAAAUAUUGAAAAUCUCUGUCGAAGGCAAAAACCCACCUGUUUCGAAUGUGGCAAAAAGGAACACAUUCUGGCAGAUUUUGAUUUUAAAUAAAAAGGAUAAAACGCAGACACUAGGACCUUCAAACAAAAAAAAUACCCCUACUCCCACACUUGCACCAACCCACACAAAGAUAAAAACUCCCACUCACCCCUUGCUGCGGUGCCAAUACCCAAACAGGAUACUGGAAAUACAAACAUCCCAACCCCUACACACACAAGCCCCUACGGAAAUAAAAAUACCCACUCCCUUAAAACCUGAGGCACCUGAAAACAGAAACGCAACUUCUCAGACGAUACCAUGGAAGUAUCCGAGGACGAGUUUACGGUGGUAGGCAAGCGUACAGUGACACCAUCCCCAUCUACAUGCCCUACAAAGAAAACAGACACAACACCACAGAAAUUUUUAAAAAAGACCCCGCCCAGCUCUCUCCGCAGAGAAAAACAUACUAGUGGAAUUUGACAAUAAGCACGAUUAUACCUGUAGUAUCCUAGCGAUACAUCAUCUCACCACCAAACUUUAUCCAGUACAUAAGGAUUUGAAUAAACAAUGUGCCUGAAUAGGGGAAACCCUAUACAGACAACUGAAGGACAGGAAUCCAACAACCAUAUGGAGGAUUGUAGACCUGCCCAGCUAUCUGAAGACGGAGGAGAAGGAAGGGGCCGCUUCACAUAUGGUGAAAUCGGCUCCAAUCUGUCCAGUAAAGGGCAAGUAGGACCUUUGCCUUUUAUAUAAUAGCCUUACUUAACCUUGGUUGUUUGAAUGUGAAUGAUCUGAGUUCGAAGUGGAAGCAGGCUUGUUUCCUCGACGAUCUCAAAUCACAAGAUAUACAUGUGAUGGUUGCUACAAAGACCAAGUUGAACAGUCUACAAACCUUCUCGCCUCUCCUGAAUGGCUAUGAGAAAAUCAUUCUCCUGGCCUGACCGGAGGGCGUGGUGGUGUAGUGGUACCGAUCCGUAAAGACUUGGCUCUGUAGACAAGUACAGUCUAUGUGGACCCUAUAUGGAUGACAUCUCCAUCAUCGUGGCGGAUGAGGGCCAGCUUCCAGUAGUGGAAGAAGCCAGCCAUCAAAAAUUACGAGGCGGUGGCAGGAGCAAAGGUUAACAAGGGCAAGUCAGUCGGUUUGCAACUCGGCACCUGGAAGGACAAGCCGAUAACGUCCAAUAACGUCGUCGGGCAUUGGACGGAAGGUCCUGUUAAGCUGCACAGAGUUUGGUUUGGUCCAGACCUUCUGAUAGAGAAAAAUUGGAGUGAGGUAACCAUCAAGGUGACUGCUGUAACCCAGACCUUGUCUAAGCGGGCGUUAUCCUUGCUGGGAAAGGCGGAGGUGGUGCAAAUGUUUAUAGCAUCAGUUAUCACCUACCGUCUGACCGUGGUGCCUUGUCCCGAUUUGUGGCUGAACAAGUUGAAGAGAAUCCUUUUCCGCUUUUUGUGGAAGGGAGGAAAGCCACUUGUGAAGCGCUCUGUCUGCUGCUAGAAACCGCUAAUGGGUGGGUUAGGGAUGCCUUGGCUGAAGAUGCGAAAACUCGCGUUCAGGUUAAGGCACAACUGGCUUUACCUGGAUGGGGAGCGGGUGUGGUCACCGCACGUCCGGUUCUACCUUCCGCGUUUAACGUCCUUAACGGACAUUGGAGCAUGGAUCAAGCAGAGACCUCGGCUGGGAGACUGGCAAUUGGAGUGCUGACAGGAACUUCAGCUACACUCUCGGGCGUGCAAUGCCGGAAGCAGGAGUACCACCGCAGAUUUUUAAAGCGGGUUAGUGGGCUUUAUGUCCGAAGACGCCUUGGGGGAGACCCUGGGCCACGAUGAAAAUCAGUUGAUCAACUUGUUCAGGAGAACGUUUGGGUCGGGGUAUCUGGAUAAUUGACAUAAAUCACUGGCUUAGCAGUGCUUCUGUGCGGUGUUACCUGUUCGAGACAAACUGUCAAGGCACGGAAGUGCCGUCUCCCCGACAUGUCCGAUGUGCAGGCAGGAUAGGGAAACCAUCUUGCACGCAUUUGUGGAGUGUCCGGAAUUGAAUGGGAAUGAUAGUUUUCGAAGAACAACUGUUGUCAUCGAUGGGAAGAGUACAGCUAUCGACUGAGUCUGUCAUCGAGAUUGUACUGCCUCCCUCCCUUAACAGAGAAAGGAAGACUUUUUUUUCUGCGUAGUAGCCAUACUGAAAGAAACUGUAUGGAAGACGCAUGUAAGAGGAAUAGUGACAGGUACCUUCGUCUCCGGCCAGGGGUUGGUAAACUUCUUUAGUUACCACCUCAUAAGUUAGAUCAGGCUGGAGAAGAUGUGCCUGUCGUUGAGUACAUUUGUAAAACGAUAGAAGCUUGUAGCAAGCAAGUUGAGAGUGACCGGAACCAGAUAAGUGGGGUCAGUGGUUAAAAGCAAAGUUUCUACCCAGAUGGCUGGAUUCCUUUCCUUCCUAGGCAAAUAGUGGCUUUUUGCAACAAUAUUUAUGUAAAUAAAUUUUUAAAUUACAUCUGUAAUCAUAUCAUUCAUACGAACAUUAAUUUUUAAACAAUAAGUAGCUUCUUCAUCCUUUGUGUUUGUCUGUCCUUCUUCGUCCCAUCUGUGUACUGCCUUUAUGGCAAAUUUCAUGAAAUAAAAAACCUUGCUUCCCAACCACGUGGUUCCAGGUUCAGUCCACUGCGUAGAACCUUGGGUGAGUGUCUUCUAGUAUAGCCUCGAGCUGAUCAAAGUCCUGUAGCAGAUUUCGUGAACGGAAACUAAAAGAAGCCCGUCGCGUGUAUGUGUGUAUCUGUGUUUAUUUCCCACCACUGCUUGACAACCGGUGCUGGUAUGUUUAUGUCUCCGUAACUUAGCAGUUCGGUAAAAGACACCGAUAGAAUAAGUAGCAAACUUUAAAAAAAUAAGUACUGGAAUCGAUUCAUUCGACUAAAGAUUCUUCAAGGCUGUGUCCCAACAUGACUGAAACAAGUAAAAGAUAAAAAAAGGCGGUAAACAGUCAGAAUUGUUAGCGUGUCGGAGAAAAUGCCAUAUUUCCUUAUACUAACAAUGGUGAUCCAGAGUUACUCGUCAUAUGACGGGUCAUGAGAAACAAAUACCAUGUAACACGAGAGAGAAAAUGAAGGAGAAAAUGGAACAGAGAUAGAACAUAGAUAUAGAUAUAAGAGAAAGAGGUUAUGUUGUCAUGGAGGUAAUAUGAGAAGUAGAGAACUAUAGAUACAUAGAAAGAGGGAAGAGGAGAGUGAUGGUUAUAUAAUGGUGAUUUAUUUACAUUUUUAUUACUCUUCUCCGUUAGCAACUUAAAGAGUUCGGUUAUCGAUUGCAAUCUGGCAACAAAUUUUUCGUCCCAGUAAUCUAGUUUAACCUCUUCAUAAACCCAAUAGAAAAGUUGAUACGUUUUGAACUGAAACAGGGGAGUUUUUUCUGAACAUGCGGAAUUUUCGACAUUCGAAAUAUCAAAUUCCGAAAACCAUUUUGAAAUAUAAAUAAAAUAUAAAGUUCGAGAGUGAUUCAUGAUUUAUGCUAUUAAGAUUCAUUUUGAUAAACCAAAAAAACCUAGUUUAAAUUUCUAUAUAUUUCCAGUCCUUACUUGACCCAAUUUUAAAUAAACCGGUUUCAUCCCAUCUAUGUCGUAUU